UAGGGAAUCUUCGGCAAUGGACGAAAGUCUGACCGAGCAACGCCGCGUGAGUGAAGAAGGUUUUCGGAUCGUAAAACUCUGUUGUUAGAGAAGAACAAGGACGUUAGUAACUGAACGUCCCCUGACGGUAUCUAACCAGAAAGCCACGGCUAACUACGUGCCAGCAGCCGCGGUAAUACGUAGGUGGCAAGCGUUGUCCGGAUUUAUUGGGCGUAAAGCGAGCGCAGGCGGUUUCUUAAGUCUGAUGUGAAAGCCCCCGGCUCAACCGGGGAGGGUCAUUGGAAGCUGGGAGGCUUGAGUGCAGAAGAGGGGAGUGGAAUUCCAUGUGUAGCGGUGAAAUGCGUGGAUAUAUGGAGGAACACCAGUGGCGAAGGCGGCUCUCUGGUCUGUAACUGAAGCUGAGGCUGGAAAGCGUGGGGAGCAAACAGG
rnacentral:rRNA from 1 species